rnacentral:rRNA from 2 species
UCCAGCAGCCGCGGUAAUACGUAGGUGGCAAGCGUUGUCCGGAUUUAUUGGGCGUAAAGCGAGCGCAGGCGGUUUUUUAAGUCUGAUGUGAAAGCCUUCGGCUCAACCGAAGAAGUGCAUCGGAAACUGGGAAACUUGAGUGCAGAAGAGGACAGUGGAACUCCAUGUGUAGCGGUGAAAUGCGUAGAUAUAUGGAAGAACACCAGUGGCGAAGGCGGCUGUCUGGUCUGUAACUGACGCUGAGGCUCGAAAGUAUGGGUAGCAAACAGGAUUAGAUACCCUGGUAGUCCAUACCGUAAACGAUGAAUGCUAAGUGUUGGAGGGUUUCCGCCCUUCAGUGCUGCAGCUAACGCAUUAAGCAUUCCGCCUGGGGAGUACGGCCGCAAGGCUGAAACUCAAAGGAAUUGACGGGGGCCCGCACAAGCGGUGGAGCAUGUGGUUUAAUUCGAAGCUACGCGAAGAACCUUACCAGGUCUUGACAUACUAUGCAAAUCUAAGAGAUUAGACGUUCCCUUCGGGGACAUGGAUACAGGUGGUGCAUGGUUGUCGUCAGCUCGUGUCGUGAGAUGUUGGGUUAAGUCCCGCAACGAGCGGCACCCUUAUUAUCAGUUGCCAGCAUUAAGUUGGGCACUCUGGUGAGACUGCCGGUGACAAACCGGAGGAAGGUGGGGAUGACGUCAAAUCAUCAUGCCCCUUAUGACCUGGGCUACACACGUGCUACAAUGGAUGGUACAACGAGUUGCGAACUCGCGAGAGUAAGCUAAUCUCUUAAAGCCAUUCUCAGUUCGGAUUGUAGGCUGCAACUCGCCUACAUGAAGUCGGAAUCGCUAGUAAUCGCGGAUCAGCAUAGCCGCGGUGAAUACGUUCCCGGGCCUUGUACACACCGCCCGUCACACCAUGAGAGUUUGUAACACCCAAAGUCGGUGGGGUAACCUUUUAGGAACCAGCCGCCUAAGGUGGGACAGAUGAUUAGGGUGAAGUCGUA